GGAGAAGUGGCAGAGUGGCCGAAUGUACCUGACUCGAAAUCAGGCCUAGGGUAAAACCUAGCGUGGGUUCGAAUCCCACCUUCUCCGCCA
rnacentral:tRNA from 1 species